CCCCAAGACACGAGGCUCUCCCGCUGGAAGUGGUGGGUGGGACCCUGAGCACCCGGCUCCUUAGGGCAGCCACAGGCUGCUGACGAGCGGCGGUAGGGCCUUGCCACUCCCCAGCCUCACGCCCCCGGCAGGUGCGGGUGCGGGAGAUGACAGCUCCCUUCCUGUCUCAGACCUCGCCGCGCCGUGGGAGGCUGCUUCCCCGCCCGGGAGGAGGGAGAGCCUGGCGCUGCAGCGGAGCCCGAGGGAAACCGCUGAGCCAGAGAAAGGGACACGGAGCACAGCCCGCUGUUCCCUCCCGCCGCCCGGGGUCCGCACAGCCCCGGUCCCGAUCUCGGGAGAGCGCGAGACUGGUUCUGCUCCGGGCUCGCCACCAUGCAGGAUGAAACUGAGCUAAGGGAAAAGACCUCCGGGAAGUCAGAAGAGACGGAGUCCUUGGUCCCGAACCAGAUGAAGUGGGACUUCAUCCUAGUAUGUGACAAACACAAGCCUGGCAGCAAGAAGGAUAAGAGGGAGGAAUUCUUGAACAAGUUGAAAAGCAAAGGAUUUACCAUCAAGAAAAUCGAGGACAAGAAACUAUUCUAUGGGGUCCAUGCCCCGAGUGAAAUCUUCCAAAAAUACCAAAAUCUGCUGAAGAAGUCAGACAGCGAGUUUCAGAAUCACGACACGAAGGAGGUGACCAUCCCCACCAGGAUACGUAUCGUCAACUUUAUCCUGCAGAACACAGAGAUUUCUUCUGAGGGUAAGGAAGUGCUUCCUCCAUUCUAGCUCACUCUUGCCGUUCCCAUGUCACAGUCACAAAUACACA
rnacentral:lncRNA from 1 species